CCUACGGGUGGCAGCAGUGGGGGAUAUUGCACAAUGGGGGAAACCCUGAUGCAGCGACGCCGCGUGUGGGAAGACGGUCCUCUGGACUGUAAACUACUGUCUCCAGGGACGAAGAUGACGGUACCUGGGGAGGAAGCUCCGGCUAACUACGUGCCACCAGCCGCGGUAAUACGUAGGGAGCGAGCGUUGUCCGGAAUUACUGGGUGUAAAGGGAGCGUAGGCGGGGAUGGAAGUUGGGUGUAAAAACUACCGGCUCAACUGGUAGUCGCACUCAAAACUGCAGCUCUUGAGUGAAGUAGAGGCAGGCGGAAGUCCAAGUGUAGCGGUGAAAUGCGUAGAUAUUAGGAGGAACACCAGUGGCGAAGGCGGCCUGCUGGGCUUUUACUGACGCUGAGGCUCGAAAGUGUGGGGAGCAAACAGGAUUAGAUACCCCAGUAGUC
rnacentral:rRNA from 1 species